rnacentral:rRNA from 1 species
UCCUGGCUUAGGAUGAACGCUGGCGGCGUGCCUAAUACAUGCAAGUCGAACGGAAAUUUAUCGCUGAAGUGGGUUUACUCAAUUCUUGAUAAAUUUAGUGGCGGACGGGUGAGUAACGCGUGGGUAACCUGCCUUACACUGGGGGACAACGGUUGGAAACGACUGCUAAUACCGCAUAAGCGCACAGAAUCGCAUGAUUCAGUGUGAAAAACUCCGGUGGUGUAAGAUGGACCCGCGUCUGAUUAGCUAGUUGGUGAGGUAACGGCCCACCAAGGCGACGAUCAGUAGCCGGCCUGAGAGGGUGAACGGCCACAUUGGGACUGAGACACGGCUCAAACUCCUACGGGAGGCAGCAGUAGGGAAUAUUGCACAAUGGGGGAAACCCUGAUGCAGCAACGCCGCGUGAGUGAAGAAGUAUUUCGGUAUGUAAAGCUCUAUCAGCAGGGAAGAAAAUGACGGUACCUGACUAAGAAGCCCCGGCUAACUACGUGCCAGCCGCCGC